UACAGAGGUCUCAAGCGUUGUUCGGAUUCAUUGGGUGUAAAGGGUGCGUAGGCGGCCUUUGUGGGUCAGGCGUGAAAUACAUGGGCUUAACCCAUGGACUGCGCUUGAAACUAUAAGGCUUGAGUGAAGUAGAGGCAGGUGGAAUUCCCGGUGUAGCGGUGAAAUGCGUAGAGAUCGGGAGGAACACCAGUGGCGAAGGCGGCCUGCUGGGCUUUAACUGACGCUGAGGCACGAAAGCAUGGGUAGCAAACAGGG
rnacentral:rRNA from 1 species